GAUGAAGAACGCAGCGAAAUGCUAUAAGUAAUGUGAAUUGCAGAAUUCAGUGAAUCAUCGAAUCUUUGAACGCACAUUGCGCCCGCCAGUAUUCUGGCGGGCAUGCCUGUUCGAGCGUCAUUUCAACCAUCAAGCCCCGGGCUUGUGUUGGGGACCUGCGGCUGCCGCAGGCCCUGAAAUGCAGUGGCGGGCUCGCUGUCACUCCGAGCGUAGUAGUUACAUCUCGCUCUGGGCGUGCUGCGGGUUCCGGCCGUUAAAAGCCUUAUUUACCCAAGGUUGACCUCGGAUCAGGUAGGAAGACCCGCUGAACUUAAGCAUAUCAAUAAGCGGAGGA
rnacentral:misc_RNA from 1 species